CCGCCGAUGUGUAGCACAUCAAACCAGCGCCCUUGAACGUAUAAAAAGCUAGACUAAGCCGUACUACAGCUUACACUUUCAUCAGUGAAUUUCAUUAUUUUUUCUGGCGACGUGCCUGUAAAAGUGCAUAUUUAAUAACGUUUCCGAGGACUCGCGAUGUUGGAACAUUCGACACCGGCCACCAGAACCUGGAGAUCAACGCAGUGGCGCAGAAUUACAUCGUGGAAAAGGAAACAAGAAGAGUUCCGAGAAGCAUAGGGGAUAUUCGGCACAAAGUGUAACACGUGCAAAGUCGGCAACCAGACAACUGAAUGAAAAGCCAAGUAAUGUAUGACUGGAGCUGAUCAAAAUGUAAUUAAUGAUUUUGUGGAGAAUAAACCAAAA
rnacentral:lncRNA from 1 species